GACGAACGCUGGCGGCGUGCUUAACACAUGCAAGUCGAACGGAAAGGCCCUGCUUUUGUGGGGUGCUCGAGUGGCGAACGGGUGAGUAACACGUGAGUAACCUGCCCUUGACUUUGGGAUAACUUCAGGAAACUGGGGCUAAUACCGGAUAGGAGCUCCUGCUGCAUGGUGGGGGUUGGAAAGUUUCGGCGGUUGGGGAUGGACUCGCGGCUUAUCAGCUUGUUGGUGGGGUAGUGGCUUACCAAGGCUUUGACGGGUAGCCGGCCUGAGAGGGUGACCGGGACCAGUGAGAGUGAGAGACGGCAAAGACUGAGACGGGAGGCAGCGGUGGAGAAGAUUGCACGCUGGGCGGAGGCAGGAGGGAGCACGGGCGCGGGCGCUGGGAGGGGGUUGGGGUGGGCAGCGGCGGUCGACGGGGGGGAAGGGUGGGGGAGGGUAAGGGGAAAAGAGGGCCCGGCAAACGAGGGGACAGGAGGGGGGGUAAUGGAUGGAAGAACACCGUCUUAAC
rnacentral:rRNA from 1 species